AAUCGUGAUUCUUUGAAAUUUGAACUAAAAUACAGACUAUAGUCGUACAAAGUUCUAUUCAUACGUUUUAGUACAAAAUCAUCAUGCGAAAGUGUAUUCAUUUUAGUAAAACAUCCAAAGUAUCGCCUCGUCACAUUGCGUUAAUUUUCAUUUGUAAGUAUUAUUAAAUCACUAUUGAAUCACUCGGGAAUCGUGAUUCUUUGAAAUUUGAACUAAAAUACAGACUACAGUCGUACAAAGUUCUAUUCAUACGUUUUAGUACAAAAUCAUCAUGCGAAAGUGUAUUCAUUUUAGUAAAACAUCCAAAGUAUCGCCUCGUCACAUUGCGUUAAUUUUCAUUUAUUUCCAAAAAAUCAAUGAAAUAGAAGGAAACAAUGGCUAAAAAUCUUCGAAUUAAAUGAUUAUACCGAUGUCUACCUGGCAUAGAUUCCGCGGUAAUCAUUUCACAAUUAAUGAUUGUAAACAAUGCUCAGUAAACUAGUAAACAUGGUCAGAGAGGCUGUCUUAAAACAUAAUCCAAACCACUUGUCUGGAAUAGAGAAGUAAAUUACAUUUUAGUCAUUUACAGCAACAUUGGUACUACUUUGAGCACGGUGUUUGUAUAUUUUGAAAAUUAUAUUUCUCCAACGAUGGGUUUGAAGAAAAUGAACAGACAAAUAAAGGAUUUGGAGACGUUAAAGUUGAAGAAUUUAAUUCAUCCAGAAAAGCAUUAGAUACUUAAUAAUGUCUAAUUCACAUACACUUAUUUCAUACAGUGGAUUAUACUUAUUGUUUUCAAAAUUGAAGUAUAUGAUGUACCACAUACAAGAAACUAGGAAUUUGAGCCAAUGUAUUGACAAUUUUUCAAACGUUGACUUUCUUGAAGAUAAUUCUACCGACUAAGAUGAAGCCAUACAAUAUUGGAGCAAAUUAUGAAACUUAAAAGCAAUACAAUUUUGCUGAGCAAGAAUCUAAUUUCAAUAACACAGAGGGCCGCAACAUAUUUAAAUUGCCAAGAAACACAUAACUAGUUUGGACUUUAGUAGCUUUUCGGAAAGGAAAUUGAAUAUAGUUGGAUGACAGAGUUGACACACAUAUUUUGUUUGUGUCUUGUUCUGAACAAUUGGAUCAAAAGCCACAUUCAGCUGUUAUCACACAUGUCAUUUGUGAUAUCUCGUAACUAUUGAACAAGAUUUUUGGACAAACCUGGCUUCACCUGUCAGAAUGUUGCCAAAGCUGUGUGGUGGUGAGCUCUGAAAAGAUAUAUUAUAUUGAAGAUGUUGCUGAUAGGCUGUUAAAAACUUUGAGGUGUCCUACAAAACGUACAGAUUUCUCAUAAUUCUAUUCAUACAUAUUAUUGCAUAACCACCAUGCAUAAGUAUAUUGUUUUUAGUAAAACAUCUGAAGUAUCGCCUAGCCACAUUAUGUUAG